UACGAAGGGGGCUAGCGUUGUUCGGAAUUACUGGGCGUAAAGGGCUCGUAGGUGGCCAACUAAGUCAGACGUGAAAUCCCUCGGCUUAACCGGGGAACUGCAUCUGAUACUGGAUGGCUUGAGUUUGGGAGAGGGAUGCGGAAUUCCAGGUGUAGCGGUGAAAUGCGUAGAUAUCUGGAGGAACACCGGUGGCGAAGGCGGCAUCCUGGACCAACACUGACACUGAGGAGCGAAAGCCAGGGGAGCAAACGGG
rnacentral:rRNA from 1 species